UACGGAGGGAGCUAGCGUUGUUCGGAAAUACUGGGCGUAAAGCGCACGUAGGCGGCGCGGCAAGUCAGGGGUGAAAUCCCGGGGCUCAACCUCGGAACUGCCCUUGAAACUGCAGUGCUAGAAUCUUGGAGAGGCGAGUGGAAUUCCGAGUGUAGAGGUGAAAUUCGUAGAUAUUCGGAAGAACACCAGUGGCGAAGGCGACUCGCUGGACAAGUAUUGACGCUGAGGUGCGAAAGCGUGGGGAGCAAACAGG
rnacentral:rRNA from 1 species